rnacentral:rRNA from 1 species
CUCAGGAUGAACGCUAGCGGCGGGCUUAAUACAUGCAAGUCGAGGGGUAGCAAUACACCGGCGCACGGGUGCGUAACGCGUAUGCAACCUACCUUUAUCUGGGGGAUAGCCCGGGGAAACCCGGAUUAAUACCGCAUAACAAAUUGAUUGGCAUCAAUUGAUUUUAAAAGAUUUAUCGGAUAGAGAUGGGCAUGCGUAAGAUUAGAUAGUUGGCGAGGUAACGGCUCACCAAGUCUACGAUCUUUAGGGGCUCUGAGAGGAGAAUCCCCCACACUGGCACUGAGAUACGGGCCAGACUCCUACGGGAGGCAGCAGUAGGGAAUAUUGGGCAAUGGGCGCAAGCCUGACCCAGCCACGCCGCGUGCAGGAAGACGGCCCUCUGGGUUGUAAACUGCUUUUGACUGGGAAGAAAAGACUCCUUGCGAGGAGAGUUGACGGUACCAGCAGAAUAAGCCACGGCUAACUACGUGCCAGCAGCCGCGGUAAUACGUAGGUGGCGAGCGUUAUCCGGAUUUAUUGGGUUUAAAGGGUGCGUAGGCGGCUGAUUAAGUCAGCGGUGAAAGGUAGCAGCUUAACUGUUUUACAUGCCGUUGAUACUGGUUAGCUUGAGUUAACAGAAGGCAGAUAGAAUUUCUGGUGUAGCGGUGAAAUGCUUAGAUACCAGGAGGAAUACCGAUUGCGAAGGCAGUCUGCUGCAGUACACGACGCUGGCAC